rnacentral:tRNA from 1 species
ACUUCUAUAGGAAAGCAGAAAUCCAUUGGUUUUAGACACCAA